rnacentral:rRNA from 1 species
UGGUUCUAUUUUGUUGGUUUCUAGGACCGCCGUAAUGAUUAAUAGGGACAGUCGGGGGCAUCAGUAUUCAAUUGUCAGAGGUGAAAUUCUUGGAUUUAUUGAAGACUAACUACUGCGAAAGCAUUUGCCAAGGAUGUUUUCAUUAAUCAGUGAACGAAAGUUAGGGGAUCGAAGACGAUCAGAUACCGUCGUAGUCUUAACCGUAAACUAUGCCGACUAGGGAUCGGGCGAUGUUCUCUCUUGACUCGCUCGGCACCUUACGAGAAAUCAAAGUUUUUGGGUUCUGGGGGGAGUAUGGUCGCAAGGCUGAAACUUAAUGAAAUUGACGGAAGGGCACCACCAGGCGUGGAGCCUGCGGCUUAAUUGACUCAAC